AUUGAACGCUGGCGGAAUGCUUUACACACGCAAGUCGAACGGCAGCACGGACUUCGGUCUGGUGGCGAGUGGCGAACGGGUGAGUAAUAUAUCGGAACGUGCCCAGUCGUGGGGGAUAACGUAGUGAAAAUUACGCUAAUACCGCAUACGAUCUAUGGAUGAAAGCGGGGGAUCGCAAGACCUCGCGCGAUUGGAGCGGCCGAUAUCAGAUUAGGUAGUUGGUGAGGUAAAGGCUCACCAAGCCGACGAUCUGUAGCUGGUCUGAGAGGACGACCAGCCACACUGGAACUGAGAGACGGUCCAGAGUCCUACGGGAGGCAGUAGUGGGGAAUUUUGGACAAUGGACGCAAGUCUGAUCCAGCCAUUCCGCGUGCAGGACGAAGGCCUUCGGGUUGUAAACUGCUUUUGUACAGAACGAAAAGGUCUCUAUUAAUACUAGGGGCUCAUGACGGUACUGUAAGAAUAAGCACCGGCUAACUACGUGCCAGCCGCCGCGGUAA
rnacentral:rRNA from 1 species